rnacentral:rRNA from 1 species
CCUACGGGAGGCUGCAGUGAGGAAUAUUGGUCAAUGGACGAGAGUCUGAACCAGCCAAGUAGCGUGAAGGAUGACUGCCCUAUGGGUUGUAAACUUCUUUUAUAAAGGAAUAAAACGAGGCACGUGUGCCUUUUUGCAUGUACUUUAUGAAUAAGGAUCGGCUAACUCCGUUCCAGCAGCCGCGGUAAUACGGAGGAUCCGAGCGUUAUCCGGAUUUAUUGGGUUUAAAGGGAGCGUAGAUGGGUUGUUAAGUCAGUUGUGAAAGUUUGCGGCUCAACCGUAAAAUUGCAAUUGAUACUGGCAGUCGUGAGUACAGUUGAGGUAGGCGGAAUUCGUGGUGUAGCGGUGAAAUGCUUAGAUAUCACGAAGAACCCCGAUUGCGAAGGCAGCUUACUAAACUGUGACUGACAUUGAUGCUCGAAAGUGUGGGUAUCAAACAGGAUUAGAUACCCGUGUAGUC